rnacentral:rRNA from 1 species
UACGUAGGGUGCAAGCGUUAAUCGGAAUUACUGGGCGUAAAGCGUGCGCAGGCGGCUCUGCAAGACAGAUGUGAAAUCCCCGGGCUUAACCUGGGAACUGCAUUUGUGACUGCAUGGCUGGAGUGCGGCAGAGGGGGAUGGAAUUCCGCGUGUAGCAGUGAAAUGCGUAGAUGUGCGGAGGAACACCGAUGGCGAAGGCAAUCCCCUGGGCCUGCACUGACGCUCAUGCACGAAAGCGUGGGGAGCAAACAGG